UACGUAGGGUGCAAGCGUUAAUCGGAAUUACUGGGCGUAAAGCGUGCGCAGGCGGUUUUGUAAGACAGAUGUGAAAUCCCCCGGCUUAACCUGGGAACUGCGUCUGAUACUGGAAGGCUUGAGUGCGGGAGAGGGAUGUGGAAUUCCAGGUGUAGCGGUGAAAUGCGUAGAUAUCUGGAGGAACACCGGUGGCGAAGGCGGCAUCCUGGACCGACACUGACGCUGAGGCGCGAAAGCUAGGGUAGCAAACGGG
rnacentral:rRNA from 1 species